CCUCAGGGUACGCAUUCCCUUUGUUGUUCCCUCCCACAGUGCAUUCAACCUUUGUGACCAACAGACUCUGUGGAGAUGGUGCAGCUGUGACUGCUGAGAUUGCUCAACAGCUGUGUUCAUGUUAGUCUCUUGGAUGACUUGCCCAGGGAGACAUCAGCCACCAUGUCAGGAGGACACUCAAGCAGUGCACGAAGAGGAACUGAGGCCUCUAGCUGACAGCCAGAACCAACCUGCCAGCUGUGAGAAGGAGCCACUCUGGAAAUGGACUUUCCAUUCUCUACCCCCAAGGUCAAGCCCUCAGGGUCUGCCAUCUUGGCCAACAACGUAGCUUCCACCCCAUGAGAGACCCUGAGUCAGGACCUGUGGGGGAUCAAAAGUGACUGCCAUUGUUUUGGACCACUAGUUUGUUAGGCAACAGUAGAGGAUAGCAUAGGCCCCUUCUGCCAGUUUUCUCUUUUCCGGCCUUCUUUAUUUUGGUUCGGUUGGCUGGCCUUAGCCUUGUGUCCACACACCUGAGCAACCAGGAUGAGGGUAAGGUGAGGCAGGCACCCAGGCUUCCUUCAGUUUUAUGCCCUGGCUGCCUGAGCUUCUCACCCUCGUCUGGCCCUGUAUCUGACUUCUGCACAAUCCCAUAAAAGGCCAGUCCUGGUGACCUUGCCCUUGACCUAGCUGCCUGACUCUACUGCUGGUCCCUGUGCACCUGCCUUACUUCCUGUGGAGAAACCUGCAGGUUUUAUGGUUUAUUAGAGCUGAGGGUAAACCCCUGCUGUCCAUUAAGAAAGUAGGUGGAGAAACGGAGGGGUUGGCCACCACCAGUUGAGGACGCCCCACAUGGACCUCACCGUGGCCCUUGCACCAGCCCUGAGGUGAGUGGAGAGGGCUUUGGCUGGGAAGAGUGGGUGGUUGGUAGCACCUUGACCUUAGAGGGGAAACAGGCCUCUGUGCAGCCCCAGAGUGGGCCAGGAAAGGAUGGCCUUCCUCGGGGUAGGGAAGGGAAGCCCCCCUGGAGCCUGGCUGGGACAUUCUUCUGAAGGAACAGAAGAAAAAUCACACUAGUAACACAUCAAGUGACUCCUGCACAUGCUUCCUCUCAUUCAAUUCUCCUGACAGCCAAACCCACCUGUUUCUGGUCCUCAAAAUAAGCUGAGUCCCUCACCCCCAAUUCCUCAAAUCUGCAAAGCUCUGAGAACCAAAAGAUUUUUGAGGACAGAACUGAGGUGCGGUUAUAUUUGGUCUUCAUCAUCCCAUUGACUGUAAAUAUCAGAAUGCUUCCCUACAGAAAGAUCAACGUGUUUGUUUGCAGGGUGCCCCCCCAGAACCCACUGGGUGUUGGGUCAUGCACCAGGUAACUUUUCUAAAAUCUAACAUUUCUGACUUUUGAAACAUCUGGUCCGAAGAUAAAGCACAGCGGCCCUGAAUUAUUUCCAUUUUUACCUACGAGGAAAACUGAGUUUCCUUGAAGAACAAACCUAGCCCAGAACCAGGAAGCUUCCAGGGCAGGUGCAGAUUUGAACUCAGGGCUCUCAGCCAGCACAUCCCACUCUCUCAACCCAGGAAUGAGCCCUGGGCUCCUUACAUGCCUGUGAAUUCACAAGUUUAGUGAGACAGUGUUUGCUCCCUGCACGGUGACAGUCUGUCCCAUCCUCUUGUCCUAAGGAGCGUGAUGGCCCCGGGCCUGAGACUGCCAUCCACUCCUCGACCCACCAAUCUCGAGGCCCAUUAGAUCUGGCACUCUGAGAUCUUCAUGGAGCCCGUUCAGUCGUUUUUGUAAUGAACUUCAAAAAGCUUUCUGUGUUUGGGGUAUUUAUUGUUCCUGGACCCAGUGGCAAGCGGAGAUUUAUCCUCAGAAAGCCUGGGGUUUAAUGAAGCUUUUUGUAGUACAAAUAUGUUCAUGUGACUGAAAUAGAAUAAGCUCUUGGGCAUUUCUUCUCAUUGUCCCCUUUUGUGUCAUCUCUCCCUCACUCCAAACCCUUGCUUAUCCUCUGGCCCUGCCAGAACUUCCCUCUGAUCCUAUUCUCCUUCAGUAAUUAACUCAUCCAACAAGCACUCAGUGAGUCCCUGUGGCUGCAGACAAUGUGGUAGAAGAGGUUUUAUGGCUUAUUAGAAGAGCACUGGUCGGACAGACAAAAGAUCGAGGUCCUGGUGCUGUAAGCAUUUAGACAGGGCCCUUCUCUGCUCUGGACCUCCGCUUAACCAUGUGUGAAGUAAGAAGAUAAUUGAGAGGGUGAAAAACACAUCAAUCACAAAGUGCAGAAACUUCAAAGAUUCAACAAUAAAGGAGUAUGGGCUUUAUUGUUUGACCAGUCUGACCAAGGACUCUGGCUCUACAGUUCUCUUGAUUUAGACUUUCUCUGGGAAUCCUUUUAAUCUUUAGGGUGGCUUGCCUCAUAAUUACAAAAAGGCUGCCAGUGACAUCUCCAAUCAUAUGCUUCACAGCCAUGGAGAGAGAAGCAGAGCUACUUCAGGCAUUAAGCAUAUUACCAAAGGGAUUGUUUAGAGCCAGGCCUAUUUUGAUUCAUAGGUUUGUUCUCCUGUGAAUCAGAGCCUGGCCUGGAUAAGUUAUAAAAUAUUUUGACCAUCACUCCUGGAAAGAGAGUAUCAUUAGCAAUCAUCAAGCAAAUGUCUAGGAUUUUAACCUGACUGCCAUAUCCUAAGUUACCCAUGCCAAUCCCCAUGGUCAGGGCGGGGGCCAGUUAGGAUUGCCCCAGGUGGCUUAGAACAGUCAGGACCUCCCCUAAAACUGGGGUUCUGCUCACGACCUCCCCUAAAACUGAGUUCUGCUCAGACUGUGUGGUUACUGCACCAUGGAUGGUAGCAACAAUUUGGGGGUUGUGUCCAGGGGUGCAACUAAAAUGUGUCUUUUUAUCUUUCCCACUUCCCUCUCUCACUCUUCUUCACUUCUACAUUUGCACUUCUGAUGCACGACCUUGCAAAGUGUUUUCGCUUUCCGCCACUGUAACAAAACACCUGAGGGAAUCAACUCAAAAGGAGAAGAGAUUUCCUUUGACUUAUGGUUUUAGAGGUUUCAGUCCAUGUUUAUGGCCCUGCUGUGUUGGGCUUGUGGCACAUAGGACAUCAUGGCCCGAGCACUUGGUAGAGGAGGCCUGUUUACCUCACGGGGUCCAGGAAACACAAAUAUAUAGAGAUGAAGAGAUAAAGAGAUAGGGAGAAAGAGGGUGAGCACACGCACCUUGGUGUCCCCAUAUCCUUUCAAGGACAUGCCCCCAGCAACCAUCUUCCUCCAACGAGGUCCCAUCUCCUCAAGGUUCUACCACCAUCCAGCAGCACCAUAGGCUGUGGCCAAGCCUUCAAUACACGAGACUUUGGGGACAUUUAAGAUCCUUCAGCACAAAGGUUACCUCCCACCUUAAUAUUCUGUUGAGCACCCUUUUAGUUUAGGUUAGCGGUAUUGUCUGGGGGCUCCUACCACUGUCUAGAUUUCCACCCUCCAUUUCUAGUCCUUCAUGAAUGUCCUUCUGAAUCUGUGGACAAGGAGAAGUAGAAACCCAGGUAUGGGCACUGCCGGUUUGCAGCAUCUCCUGGGCUGAGCAGCGAGGGGUUUGCUGAGGGUGAAGCCUCUGUGUCUGAGGCCGCCCCUCAGCGUGGCUCACAGUUGGUAUGUAACACCCGACUUUGAUUCAGCUUUUCAAAAUGUAAGACUAAUAAAUGGCUCAUUGUAAAAACUUCCGAUGGCUAUGUGGAAAACGCUCUUUCCUGUCUAAUACCUCUGCUUCCCCAUUCCCAGUGUCAAUCAGAGUCACAUGUUCUCCCAGUUAUGUCCUAUUACACCUCCUGAUAUGUACAAACAUUAAUGUGUGAGUGUAAUCAAAACCUCCUUCUGUCUGUAGGAAUCUUAGUGGGAAUGUGUUUGUUAAAUGAACAAAUGAAUACCUAAAACAGCAGGAAUCUCUGCCUGGGGACAGUUAGGGGGUGAAGCCUUAUGCCAUCCACAGCGGCCAGUCAGAACAACAGAACCCAUUAUUUUAACAAAGAGGUUUUAAAAUAGAGAACUGAGGACUGGAAAGAAGCAGUGGCCAUGGAUAACAGAGACAGUAACUUCACCCUAAGAGCAAGGGACAAAGAAAGAGAUGGGGGUUUCUAGAAGUUGGAAGCUCACAGAAAAAACUGUGCAGAGCUGGAGCUACUACUUGUAGGCUGGGGCGCCGGCAGACUGCUGCUGAUGUCUCUCAGGGGGCAUGUGCCAUGGUUGGUUCUGAGUGUGUGACACGAGAGAUGAAUUGGAAUCCACUGUGGCUGCUGGUGAGAAGAAGGCUGGCGGGCGAUGCUGCCAGGAAUAGGAAGCAAACAGUUUGGAUGCAGCCCCUCCUUCUCCUCCUUCCUCCUGUGGUCCUCCCAGCAUUAUGAGGAGGGAGCCAGGAGGUAAGUAGCUGGCAGUGUGGUUGGCAGGAACCCCCUGCAAUGCCGCAGAGUGAAGGAGUGAAGGGCCCCCCGGAGCACCACGGCAAGGGUUAAUCGCCGGCUCAGCCUGCUUCCUCUCACUGAGAGCCUUUGAGCAAGAAAAAAGUGCCCCUCUGGGCAGAAGUGACCUGUGUCAGGGAGAAUGUUUGGUGAUCAGAGGAAGGCACUGUGCUACAUACACCAGGAUGUUCUGCUGGGCAGGGGAAUAGAGAGUGGAGUUUAGUCCUGAAUGUCCUCUUGACCAGAUGCAUGCAUACAGGCGACAGCCCACACGCUCAUUCCCCACCCCAUGUGUAGUGACCCUGCAUCUGCCCAGCUACAGGCAGACAGUGCAUUCUGUGAUACAUGGACGUAAAUAUUAGACACAAAUCCAGGCGCUGUAGAGAAGUGCUUCUGCAGACAGAUUCCUAGAAAACAGAGACGCCACUUCCAGCCAACCCAGGCCAGGAGGCCAUUUCUAAGGAAUCUGUGCUGAGCGGGUGAGAGUUUGGGGAGUUAGGCAAUUCCAGGAGGGAGGCACUUUCCAAAUUCUUCAGAAUUAACUUUUGGAUGGGAUGAGAUUCUAGACAUGAUCUGUCCUUGAGGAUGAUGAUCAUCGUGAUAGUUAGGUUAGGCUCUCUGGAAUCAGACUUAGACAGGGUGGGGGUGUGAGAAGCUGGGGUACUCAUGGGAGACACACCUGUGGGGAGGGGAGGAGGCAGGUCCACCCGAGGGACGAGGCAACAGCCAAGGCUCAGGCUGGUGCUCUGGGAGCUCCGGAGCUAGGAUGGCCCUCCAGAGCGUCUCCAGAUGAGGUAGGAAGGUCGGCCAUUCAUUGGCCGUGGCCCCCUCAGGAGGAGUGCAACCUUGGAAUGGGCAGUUUGCUGCAGCCUAAGGCAGUUUCUAGUGAGAGAAGCAGAGUCUUCCAAACAGUCAGCUGGAGGUUGGUGCGUUGGCUCUGAGGAGGAGACCUUGGCAGCAAACCACAGUGUCCACUUCAGGAAUGAUAAUAAUAAGAAGGGCCGCCAUGGUUGCCACCCAUUGAUCACCUACACCGAGCUGGAUGCUUUGUGCGGAACCCUGGUCCUCCCACGCCUUCCCAUCACAGUGAAUGGCACCCACAUCCAACCCCACGGCUCUGGACAAAAUCGUUGGUGUCAUUCUUGAUCCUUUCCUUUUCUCCCCUUCCUAAAUUAGGAUCCAUCAGUGGGAUUUAUUGGCUCUCCCACCAAAAUAUACCCUGAAUCUGUCAACUUCACUCCACCCCUAUCACUUUCGUCCAGCUCAUCAGUCUUCCCUGGCCACCUGUCACGGCUCCCUGACUCUCUCCGACCUGGAUGUCCUGCCAUCCAUUACUGUUCACACCACAGCUAGAACGGCCUCAAAUAUCAUUCUUCUGAGCAAAGCUCUUGAAUCACUUCUGCUGUACUUAACACAAAGACCUAACUUCUUACCAUGAAUGAUUUUAUUGGCUCCAUCUCAAUCUCCAUAUUUUUCCUGACUUGCCAUACCAGCUCUCUCUUGAUGCCUUGAACAUGUCAGGCUCAUCCUCGCCCCAGAACCCUUACUGUAGCUCUUCCCUCUGCCUGGAAUGACCUUCCACAGAGCCUGCUGGGCCCUCCUUGUCAUUCAAGCCUCAGCUCUCCCAUCACUUUCCUAGUCAGGCCUCCCCUGACUAUUCCAGUUCAACUGUUAUGGAGACCCUGGUCCAACCUGGUGUCAAAGACCAGGCUCCCUCUUUCAGCCUGGGGCCAAACCUCCCUCUGCGCAUCACAGUCUGACAGCAGGCUAUGUCCUUUGGUCUAUUUUCAGGAUUCCAGGGUCGUCUGGAGAUGGCUAUGGCACAUCCCAAGUGGACACUGCAUAGACGGAAUCAGGAGACAUAACUCGGCUUUGCUCCUGCCAGUGAAACAGUCACCUAGUGGAAAAGAAAAGCCCUCCACCACUGAAUCUAUAAUUGCACCGGAAACUGCCCAGCCCUUGGUGGAACAAUGAGGGAAAUCUCGUUACGGGUCUACCGGCCUGGGGCGAGCAGAAACAAAGAUGAGGUUGGAAAUAUUUUUAACAUGUGUGUUUUCUUGGGUCAUUAAAAGAGAAAAACAAGUUCCAACACUGUUUGAAGGAAACCAUCAUCCAAUUUACAAGUACUUAUUGGGUUCUGGCUGUGGCCAGAAGGACUUGGGCGUGGCUUUGGAGCCACUGGGAUGUGGUAAGGUCCCUUUUGUCAGGGACUGACAUCUAAG
rnacentral:lncRNA from 1 species